rnacentral:lncRNA from 1 species
AGGAGACAUUGGCAAAGCCUUACUCAGCACCCGUGACAGCCUAGCCAGAGAAAGCUGGUAGAUAAGGCUAAGAACGUAUCUAUGGUAUCAGCCCCCCAUGGGGGUCUCAGAAACUCACUGUUCUGUCACCUCUUCUCCUGCUCCUUUACCAUACCCAGAGUAAACAGCCUUGGUGACCAGGCUGGACUGGUCAGGAAAGACAGGGAAUGUAAGAGAUCAGAAAGUAGUCAGAAACUGAGGAAUCACUCCCUGUAGCCAGGCUUCUUUCAGGGAGAUAAGCAGUGAGCAAGGUCUCCUAGAGGGAUUGUCCCAGACUGCAUCCAGCCCAGGAGGGCAACAGGUGCUAGAGGUAGUACGAGCCAACUAUGACACGCUCACAUUGAAGCUGCAGGAUGGCCUGGACCAGUAUGAGCGCUACUCCGAGCAGCACAAGGAAGCUGCCUUCUUCAAAGAGCUGGUUCGAUCCAUUAGCACCAACGUCCGGAGGAACCUGGCCUUCCACACACUCAGCCAGGAAGUCCUGCUCAAGGAGUUCUCCACUAUCUCCUGAGGCCGCAGAUGCUGGAACAGCCACUGACUACCCUUACCCAUGAGGCUCCUGGGCUGGAGGGGGGCGAGGGGAGAGGUUGAGAAAAACACAGAUACCGAGUUCUCUUGGUAAAGGCCGCACUUCAGUGGAGCUUGGACAGCAGGGGCCAGGAUGGGCAAGCCAAGAAUAAUCUUAUUCGGGGAGGGGAUGGGUGGGCACAGGGAGAUACUUUCAGAAAUGUGGGGACUUCCACGGUGGGAUCCCUGGGCAACCCCUCACAUUUCCAAAUGAGAUGACAAGUUGUGGCUACCGGCUAAUUUCCAGGAGCUUUGGGGGUAAGCCUUAGAGUGAUGCCCAUACCCGGGGGAUCAGUGGCUCUCCUAGGCUUCUGAAAACAGACUCUCAGAUGUAGGUGAAGCCAAUUCUGCUUCCUUUGAUUCUGGAGGGAGCUGGGCUUGAAAUCUGUGUCUCCUGCCCCCGCUGGCACUUCAUCCAGUCAUUAGGACCCUUUGCUUAGGCUUAGGGUGGGGUAAGAAUGGGAUACCUUUUUUCUGUUUUCUAAUUCUAGAGCCUACUCCUCUGGGAUACUGGAGAUUAGAAUCUGCCCAUUGGUCUACAGUCUGGCCACCACUUUCUGGAUUUGAUUCUUGGCACCAGGAAUACCUGUUAGCUUUCCCCUGCCUUCCAGCCCAUUGACUCAUCUUCACUACAGGGUGACAACCUUAGCUUUUCAUUUUCAAUCUGGUUUAAAUUGUCUUUAGGGUGUGUGUGUGAAAUAAACAUUGACAGGUUUUCUGGAGCCCUCAGGUGCCUACUUUGCUGGUUUCCUUUCCAGCAGCUCCUCCACCUCCUUAGCCACCCCCUCCUCUGGGAGCCUCUUCUGCCUCUGCUGAGCUCCCCUCCACGUGUUCCACCCCCUCACCCGGCUGUUGUUUACAUCCAGCCUGCCUGAGAAUUUCCUCUGGGAGGAAUCUGUUCCUGCUGUGGUCUGGUGCCUGGAAGGGAGAGAACUUGCUGAGGCCAGGCUUUGAAACAGGCCAGAUAUGCAUCGGGUACGAGAGGCCAUGCUGUCUCCCCAUAUUCUGAGUGGAGCCAUAAGCAAGUCUCCUGACCUUUGGGAAGUUGGCCUGUAAUUCCUCUCCUGGACCACCCCCUCGGAACUGCCACUGUCGGCCUUCUCUGCCCCCCGGCUACCUUCCCAGAGUAGCUGCUGCUCUGAGAUCCUCCUUUCUAAAGCACUUUCUAAAGCCCUCAGCAUGGCAGGGAGCUAACAGCACAAAAAGAAUCUGGGAGUAAGUGUACGAAUCCAGUGGUAAAAGCAGGUCUAGGACCUCCCAGGCUGCUAUUCCACUUGGCUUCAUAUCUUUUUGGGAUUUGGGUUCCCUUCCUGAGAACCAGAGUUCUGGCUCCAACAUUGAGCAGUCAUGUACUAAUUCAGAGAAACCACCAAUGUGUUGCCAUGUAUAGUUGUAGUUUUUGGGGGGUUUUUUUUUGUUUUUUUUUUUCCUUUUUAGGGAUACACCGGUGGCAUGUGGAAGUUCCUGGGCUAGGGGUUGAAUCGGAGCUGCAGCUGCUGGCCUAUACCACAGCCCCAGCAACGUGGGAUCCGAGCUGGGUCUGCAACCUACGCUGCAGCUUGCUGCAACGCUGGAUCAUUAACCCACUGAGCAAGGCCAGGGAUUGAACCCACAUCCUCAUCAAUACUAGUCAGGUUCAUUUCCACUGAGCCACAAUGGGAACUCCCAAUAUAGUUAUAGAUUCUUAAGAGAUCAGGGGCUGGGUCAUCUCUGAUCACUAGAUGAAUAGUUCAGCCUGAGGCAUUUAGUGUUUUCCACAGUGAUAAACUCCAGAGGAGCAGGAGCUGGAAGCUGAUGGCAAAUUGAAGUUAUUAAAAAUUGAUUUGUAUGGG